GAAAAUCUUUUCAAUUUCCCUUUGGCAGGUGCAGGUCAAGGAGGAACUCAUGAGCAUUUUGUUUGAUCCAUCAGCUGAUUAGGAGAGGGGAAGCUAUCCCUCUUCUCUUACCCUUCCUUUCCCAGUUUUGAAAUCAUUCCUUCCCCACCACUGCCGCCCUCCUGUCCUUCCCCUCCUCUUUCCCUUCCCCUUCCCCUCCACUGAAUGAAUGGAAGAGUCUCCACGGUUUUCUUCUGCUUCUCGCCCUGGACUGGAGAAGUGAGGGGGCAUCUGUCAUCCUCGUCCAUCUCUUUCUCGCUCCAUCCAUUCUCAAGGGGAUUUCAGACCGUGCAAUGUGUUUUCAGCCUCUUGCCGCUGCUACCACUUGAUACUGUGUUAUGCGCAGGGAGAGGGUUUUGCAAAAAUGGAUUUAUUCGAUUUUAAAGGAUGUCUUCUCUAAUAAGGUUCUCAUUGCACAUAAAUAUGACUAAAUCCCCUAUUUGGUAAAUCUUUCUCUACCCCACCCCUCCUCUUUGGGUUCCCUCCCGCCCGCCCCCACCCCUUCAGAGGAGCAAGCACAGGGAGCUGAUGACGGACCCAUUAAUCCCUUCUUCAAUGCAUCAAAAGAAGCCGAAGGGCUGGAAGUCGCUGGGCUCGGAGUCCUGCAGGAAAUGCUUCGAUCUGCUUUUGGUUCUGUAUGAAACUGGUGACUAGGGGCUCGGCUCGCUCCGCCGCCGCCGCCCGCCGGCACCUGGAUGCGCGGGCCGCCGCCGCCGCCGCCGCCUUGCCCGCCGCCGCCGCGAUGCACCGCUCCUGGCGGUGCUGGUGAUCGCUCGGGUGUGAUGGGAUUGAGCCGGCGGUGAUCAUUUGAAGGCGGUGAGGGAGAGCGAGGGAGAGGAAAGGCUGCUCGGCUCUGCUGUGUGUGUGGGCUUCAGGCAUUUUUUUUUCCUUUUUUUUUUUUUUUCUUCUUCUUCUUUUCCUACUUCCAUCCUCUCCCCGCCACUGGAAGUCCUCCCGUAUCUAAAUGGAAUUAGUGGAGACCGAAGCCCCUUGUGUAAGGAACAGACAUGACCCAUGGGCGCAGCUUCUUUCACAUUGUAGCAAGUCUAAUCAUCCUACAUUUGUCUGGGGCAACCAAAAAAGGAACAGAAAAGCAAACUGUUUCCGAAGGACAGAGACCAGUGCAGUGUGGAACUUGGACAAAAUAUGCAGAAGGAGGAAUCUUCACUUCUCCAAAUUACCCCAACAAAUAUCCUCCGGACAGAGAGUGUGUCUACAUUAUAGAAGCUGCUCCUAGACAAUGCAUUGAACUACACUUUGAUGAAAAAUAUUCCAUAGAGCCUUCUUGGGAGUGUAAAUUUGACCACAUAGAAGUACGAGAUGGACCUUUUGGCUUUUCCCCAAUCCUUGGACGUUUCUGUGGACAGCAAAAUCCACCUAUGAUAAAAUCCAGUGGCAGAUUCCUGUGGAUUAAAUUUUUUGCUGAUGCUGAACUGGAAUCUAUUGGGUUUUCUGCUCGGUAUAAUUUUACACCUGACCCAGAUUUUAAGGACCUUGGUGUUUUGAAGCCAUUGCCAGUUUGUGAGUUUGAGAUGGGAGGACCUGAAGGAAUUGUGGAAUCUGUACAAAUUGUUAAAGAAGGAAAAGCUUCUGAAACUGAAGCAGUAGACUGUAAAUGGUACAUCCGAGCACCACCCCGAUCCAAGAUCUAUUUGCGAUUUUUGGACUAUGAGAUGCAGAAUUCCAACGAAUGCAAAAGGAAUUUUGUAGCAGUGUAUGACGGAAGCAGCUCAGUGGAGGAUUUGAAGGCAAAGUUUUGCAGCACAGUUGCUAAUGAUGUGAUGCUGAGGACAGGUCUGGGUGUAAUCCGCAUGUGGGCAGAUGAAGGCAGUCGAAACAGCCGAUUCCAGAUGCUCUUCACAUCUUUCCAAGAACCCCCUUGUGAAGCCAACACAUUUUUUUGCCACAGUAAUAUGUGUAUAAAUAAUACACUGGUCUGCAAUGGACUCCAGAACUGUGUGUAUCCCUGGGAUGAAAACCACUGCAAAGAAAAAAGAAAAGCAAACCUAUUGGACCAACUUACCAAUACCAGUGGGACUAUAAUUGGGGUGACUUCUUGCAUUGUGAUCAUCCUCAUUGUUAUCUCUAUUAUAGUACAGAUCAAGCAGCCUCGUAAAAAAUUUGUUCAAAGGAAAGCAGACUUUGAUCAAACAGUGUUCCAGGAGGUGUUUGAGCCUCCUCAUUAUGAGUUAUGCACCCUUAGAGGGACAGGGACUACAGCUGACCUUGCUGAUGUUGCAGAUGACUUUGAAAAUUAUCAUAAACUGCGGAGAUCCUCUUCAAAAUGCAUUCAUGACCAUCACUGUGGAUCACAAGUGUCUAGUAUUAAGGGCAGCCGUAGUAACCUCAGCACAAGAGAUGCUUCUGUCUUGACAGAAAUACAACCCCAGCCUGUAAAACCACUUGUUCAGCCCAUGAACAGGAGAAAUAUCCUUGUCAUGAAGCAUAGCUACUCACAAGAUGCUGCUGAUGCGUGCGAGAUAGACGAAAUUGAAGAGGUGCCAACCACAAGUCACAGACUGUCCAGACAUGAUAAAGCUGUUCAGCGGUUCUGCCUCAUUGGGUCUCUAAGCAAACAUGAGUCUGAGUACAACACAACUAGGGUCUAAGAGAGAAACCUGAGACUGCUUGAGAAUAGUGCGCUCCUGGGUGAUUUUGAACAUGCUACAAUGAAAUGUGAAACUAUCGUCCUUGGAAACACCAGCUAGAGGUUUUAUGGACUCUGACCAACUAUUCUCUUAUGAAAAAAUUCAGCAGUGUUGAGUAAAAUUACUAGAAGGCAAUAAGACUUUGGUUAUUAUGCUUAUCUGUCAUUUAUCUUUUUGUUUUUCUCUCUUCUUUUUGUUGCAAGUAAAAUUCCCAAUUUCAGGAACAAUUUAUUGAAAUCAGGAAAAGGAAUUGUGCUGAUCCAGUCUCCAAACAAGGUCACUGUGGGGAAAAAGGGAAGUUGCUGUUCCCUUCAAGCAAUGAGUCCUUGCUGGGAGAAGAGAGACAAAUUAAGAAGCCCAUGAUGAAAAAUGGAAAGAACAAGAGGGCUUAGAUUUUGCCAAAGUAUCGGGCCUGACCAACUCUGUGCAGCAUCAUUUCAUCUCUACAUUCUCAGAUAAAGGAAAACUGUGGUUCAAACCUUCUCUAUCCCAAGGAGAAGGAUGCUACAACUGUGAGUACCAAUUCUAUUCUGGCCUCUGGCAGGACUUAAAAGCUUCUUGCAUAAAUGUAGGCAGACAAGGAUUUCCUGGGCCUGUGAGGGUGGUCUUGUGCUGCUACAUGCAGCAAUAUCUAGUUAUUUAGGUCUUAUAAGUUUUCAAUUCUUUAGUCAGUCCUCCAGAAAGGUACAUAAUAAACAGACUUAGCUACUUAAAAAAAUGGUGGCUUUACAGGAAAGCAAUUACUUGAUAUCAAGUUUAGUUGGAUGUGAAAAUACCUGUGGUAUCUGCUGCAGCUAUUGUGAAAAAAAAAAGGUGUUUCCUUUUGCACAGAUGCUGGAUUAAUGUAUCUGGUUAAAUGAACCAUUCAGUUGGAUCAAUUGCAUCACUAAAUGAAAACACCUUUCCUCUGAGAUUUUACUUGUAAAACUGCAGUGCCUGAUUCAUGCUUUAGUCACAUCCUCCUUUUAGAUCCUGCUUUUUUUUUCUGAGUUCAGUGAAAGUUUUAGUUAGGAAAAAUCAGUUUGUUGAAAGUGAAUGACUUCCACCAUCUCUAGUGAAGCCAAAAAUUUGAUUUAUACUGGGGAAGGAGAACUUCAUUCUCAUUUCUUAGAGCUAGAGGAGUUUUCAACAGAAGUCAUUACUCUUUCCCUUCAUUUUAAAUAUCAGUGAUUUAAAGGAAAGCUAGUGCUCUAUACUUAGGUGAUCCAUGUAAGUUUGAAAAGAGAAGUAAAACAAUGAAAAAGAACACUAGAAAUCUAAAGUGAUCAUAUUUUCCCAAUGAUAAAAGCAACAAUAAUAUUUUCAAAAGUUACAGUUGAACCCUUGGGUACCAUACAAGCCAAGUCCUAGCCUUCAUUUUUAAAAAUAAAUUUCAUAUUAUCAUAAGAUAAAAUUCAGCUCAGCAAUAUGAGUGAUUUUAUACUUGUAUACCAAUUUAAAAUUACAAAUUUUAUAUUUAAAUAUCUGUAAGGUGCUGAUAUCCUUUAUUUUAAGCACGACUGAUUUUGCUGGUCAGAAAAACUUACUGUCUUUCUUUUUUUCAGAGACAAGUCUCUGCAUUUUGAGUUUUCCUUGCCAAAUGGAAGACAUUUUUAAUUUCUUUCCAACAUUUUCACUCCCACAUUCUACUGACUAGUUUUGGUGCAGAAAACACCCAUGGGGUGAUUUUGUUUGAUAUUCUGAGCAUAUCUGGCACCACUUUAGUAAUGAAACAGUACAUUACAGCUCUGCCUGCAGGAAGAAUUUCUUCAACUCUUAUCUAAGUUUCAUGGCCAAGAUCCAGGCCCAGAGACUUGUGCUGUCAUUUGAGAAUAACUCUAGUGGCAUAAAGUAUCUUGUUAGCUUUUAGUAUCUUGGUAAAAAGUCUACUACACUAACCUAAGCAAAUAUUAUUUCACUAGAAAGAAUUUAAAUCUUAUAUAUUUUAAAUGUCAACAUGAUAUCUCCAUUUGUUAACAUCACCAUCUCUUUGAUGAUUGAAAAAGAGAGUGAUGUUAACAUGGAAAACUUAGAGCUCCUAGCAGAAGGUAGAAAGGAUUUUUAUUAAAUAUGCUACAAUUUUCAGAUCUGUGAUUUUUUUUCCCUUUGAUUCAGUUAGGAUUUUUAGUUUUAGUCCUCCCUUUUGGGAUGCAAGCUUUGUAGUCUUUAUGUGUCUAUCAGAUUAGUAUCAUUUUUGCAAUUCAGUAGCUUACAGGGAUUCAAAAAGAAAAAAAAAUUCCUGUGCUGGCAUAUAGUAUACAGAUUUAUAAAAAGGUCUACCAAACGUCAUUAGAGUUUAUCUGAAUCACAAUGUGCUGCGAGAAAAUUAUUAGAUUGGAGAUGCAUAAAAAUAAAAAUUGAAAAUCACUCUAGCAGUUCUGCACAAUUUUAGUUUUAUACGAUUUUAUUAUUCUACUGGAUUUGAUCAAAAGAGAAAUCUCAACAGGCAUAAACUUUUAUGGAAAUCUCAACAGGGACAUAAACUUUAUAUAGCAUUAAGUUUUAAACACACAUCUGUUUGGAGUAUAUAGAGUAAAAAGUAAGGGAACAUUUAGAAACUUUUUAAAUGCUUUGAGAAAAUGAGUGCUUCUUCUGUCUCAGAAUUAAUCAAACAGAUUUUCCACAAGCUCCUUUCUAUACAAUCCGUGCAUAGUGAUGAACAAUCCAUUUAAAUGGGAGGUAUAAAAUGCAAUAUUUAAGAAGGAACAGUGGUAGAUCAUGGUAGUGAAAGUGUUUAGAAGUAUGGUGUGUGAUUCUGAACCUAGUAAAUACACCCUGAUAUACUGCAAAAUUUUAGUCCCUUUGGUUUCCUUACUCUAAGGUAUUCAAUUUAAAGCUGUGACAUACCAAGAGCAUAAUAGCCAAUUACGUAAAUAGGAAGCUUCUCACUUAGUGUUCCUGAAUCAAAAUCUUGUUAUUCAGACUCUGAGGAUCAGAAGCCUCUGCUGCUGGUGGCAGUAAAUGAGCUGAUAGUUCAGAAGGAUCUUUGUAACAGACUUGCAGUUUUAUUAGGACUACAAAACCCACCUCCAGCUAUGAUACUAAUAACAGAAGUUAGUGGAUGAUGAAAAAUUUGAUUCAGUUACCAUUUAACUAUAUAGAUGUAUUGCAUUUUGUCUUUACAUUUUAUCAAAUUAAACUAGAAAUUAGAGCAUAUUUUAAUUUUUAAGCAUUAAAUUAUUUAAUUUAAAAUAUGUUCUAUCACUCUGGAUUUUAUUUAGCAUUCUUGAAACCUGUUCACUGAUAAACACCUAUCAAAAGUUUCUUAUUUUAUGCCAUGGCUCAAAUAACAUUUAACUUGAGAAUGAAGUCCUGAAGAUUUAAAUUUUGAUAUCUUACCUCACCCCUUAACAUUUAUUAACAUUUCAAAGCUCUCCAGCCUCUCAGGAUCUGCUAUCCAGUUUGAAGCUGACUUUUGUCAGGGCUCAAUACCAGCUGUGUCAGAAGAAAGGAGAAAAAAAUUUCAUCAGAAUAUUAUCAAUCCAUUUUCUCAAUGAGAAGAACCAUCUCAGUACUAGAGCCAUGUGGUGCCUUCUACUGCUAGGUGGAAAAAACUCCUAACAUUUCAAUUCACCAGGUUGUAUUUUGGUUAUGUGAAAACAGUCCUUGUGUUCAAUUUCAAAGCUUAUUGAGGAGAAGGUGAAAAUCAAAGGAGGAUUAAAAGGAGAAAAAAAAAAAGCAAAACCCUAGCAGUGGUAAGUAAAUAAAUAAUUGUAUACUUGUGCCUACAAUUAAUAUACAACAUAAUCUGGGGUGGAGCCAUUUCUUUUCCUUUUGGAUAAUUUUCAUGGAUAAUUUUUUUAUAAUCCUCUAAUGAGUUUAUGGAGAUUGUCUGUUAACACUUUAGUUAAGUUGUCUUCAUCUACUUCUAAGAUUUAUGGACUCUCUACAUCCAUAAAAGUAGUUUAAAGGUGUUAGAAAGACAGUUUCAACAAUUUCACAUACUUCACUUAUUUUAUAAAUCUUAUGUAGAUCAUAUAUAGAUCACAGGGACUGAAAUAUGGAAUGCCUGUUGAGCCUAGAAAAACAUUGCAUACCUAUGGCAUCUAGUCAAUAUUGCAAUCAUAGAGCAUUGUUUGAAAAAUGGGGCAAAACACAAUGAAGUUUUAUAAUGUCACAUUCAAGGAUGCCUUCCACAAAACCCCAGAAAAGGACCUUUUAGAGAAAAGGCAGUACAGAGUCACCUCUAAGGAGCUUUCUUUUGUCCUUUUUCAUAUGCUGAUUUCUACAAUAAUAGGAAACAUUGUGAAGGAGAAAGGGAGAACAAAUGCAUAAAUGAGAUUUUUUUUCUUUUAGGAUAAUGGCUAUGCUUAUCUCUACAUCUACUGCUUGGGUAAUGUAUUGUUUGGGGAGAAUUCUGUGCUGAUGUAGGCUUUCAAUCAUAACAUGAAAGGAUGAUGCUUAUGCAAGCCUUCCCCAAGAUCAUUAUUGAUGUUUCAUAAAAUUCAUAAAUCCAAUAAACAUGAAAUGAGACUAUUACAGCAUUUUGACUUUGUUGGUUUCAGCAGGAAAUUCAUUCUAGAUUAAAAAAUCUGCAGUAAGCUCAAGUUUGAACAAAAGUCAUGGAUCUCUCCCUGCUCCAAACCAUGCAUAUCGUGGAGUUUAAUACAGACUAAUUUGUUAAAAUGGUGGUGCUUAUGCUGACAUAUGCAAUCAAUUUUCUAAUGUGGCAUGCUUUCCAUCACUUAGUAUGCAUAUCUCUCAGGUACAUGGGCAUUCUAUUACGAACACAGGAGUUUGUAUGUCCCCAGACAGCAAUAAGCAGUCAUCAGCUUGCUGAAAGCUGCAAAUGUGCCCAAGCUAAUGCUGCAAGUAUUUGGACUGAUAUUACACAAAGUUGGACAGAGAAAUAUGAAGGAAGCUUUUCAUCUGUUUCCAGAAUAUUUUAUGCUUGGCAUUACAAAACCUAUUUCAAUUUAUAUGAUGAUGAACAUACAUUAAAAAGACUUAUCAGUUCACUUUCUGAAAAUGCUGGUAGUCCUUUAUUCUGGGGGAAAAAAAGAUGCAGCUAAAAUGCCACGAUGCAUAGGAAAUAGCUGUUCAACCAGCUCAUGGCUAGGGAAACCCCACUCUAACUUUAUUUGUAUUUUGUUAUUAGUUUCUCUGUCUUUAAGUCCCCCUUCAUGAAUGUUAGUCAAAUGCAUUUAAUGUCUCAAAGCUGAAUCUUGGUUAAAAUCUUGGAGGGUUGAACCUUUUCUGUCUUAAGCACAACAGAAGCCAAAGGAAAAAUGGGUACUUGUCAUUUCCUCAAGUCUAUGCCACUACAGGGAGAGUCAGGAAGGAAACAAUCUCAUCUGAACAACUUCAAAAGUUUUCUUAGACUCUGCAGCCUAUCAGAAACCAAAGUACUGUAAAUAAAGUCCUGCUUCUGUAAAAGUGCUUAUUUUACUGUCAUCAAAACAAAAAAACUAACCAAAAAAACUAUGAGAGGCAGGUUAAGGCUGUCUGUCAUUCUUCUAAUUUAUUAGUAGGUGAUUGCUCAUCUGCAUUCAUUUUCAUGAAACUCUGAAACUGAUCAGGGACGUUUCAAGCUUGGCCUGCCACAUGAAAGAAAAUGGCCUCUAACCAGGGGGCCAAGGAAGGGAACUCCUCUUUACUCCUUUCACUUUCCUUAUUAACAUAAUGAAUGUUUGUCUUCAAAAAGAAAAGGAAUAAUUCUUGCAUGAGUUAUUUAACAGAGAACUAUGCACGAACAACUACAGUGUUAUGCUUGCAGGCAAUUAGUUUUAUUGAGCUAAAUUCAUAGCUUCGCGUAACCAUAUCUGAAACCUUCCAGUUGAGGGCAGACUCUGAUGUUGCGUCUGUCAUUCCCUGUUUCAGUUCUCUUAUUCCAGUAGAAUUUGGGAACUUCUGAGGGCUAGAAGAAAAUCCCUACAGAAGAAGAGAUGCUUUACAACAUAUGCCUUACACAGCAGCCACCCCUCCUCCCAGUGCAGUCGCUCUCACAGAUGACCAAGGUCAGAGGGGUGGUAGUAGUCAGCAGCAGUUGGAUGAAAAAGACCCUGAGGGGGUGUUGGAAAAGGGAAACAGGUCUUUUCCUGUUGGAAAAGGGAAACAGGUAUUUUCCUAGUAUAUUAUUGCUGCUGCUUUAUUAGUAACAAUUGAUAAGUCAUCUUACAAACAGCAAAAGGAAGGGAAGCUUUCAUUUGUCAGCCCCUCCUUAUGCGUACUUACACCUUAUCUGAGCUAACAGCAAAUGCUGACUGGCAGAGGGGAUUAUAAACACAGUAGUGGUCUUUUCUUAUUAACUAAUCUUGCAUUUUCAUUUAUAUUUUGGAGGACAGCUCCAUAUUUUUUGUGUUUAAAUAUACCUACCCUGUCUCCAAGGUUUUUGACAACUGAGGUUUUAGUGCAGGACAGGCUUUAAACACUUCAGUAGAGCAGUCAGAUUCUACUGGAAAGCUCAGUGUCCAGUAUUGUUAUUUAAAUGAAUUUAUAGUCAAAACUACUCUUCUCAUGAAUACUUAUUUCUUUUGAUCCAGGUCAAAACAAACUAAAUUGACUGCCUCUGUGACGAAUUUCAAUAAACCUUUCUUAUUUCUUUUUGCUAAAAUGAGAAGAUGAGGGGAAGAAGGUAACAUAUUUUAUCUGAAGUCAGUUUCUAAUUCAAUUAGAGCUUCAUCUUGGCCCCACUGAACUCACUGGGCUUUUUGCCACUGAAUUUAAUAAGGUUAGAAUCAGACUCAUAACAUGCAGUUUCUUAUUUCUUCCAGAUAACCAAUUAAAAUAUUAAACAUCUCUGGGUGAAUGUUGCCUUCUCGUCCACACGUUCUUUGAUAUUGUGUUACUGCUUUUUAGUCUGUCCUUCUGUAACUUUUAAUUAAGAGUUCCUUUGUGAGCAGGUAAAGGGAAGCCGCUUUAUUUUAAAACUUUUCAGGAUAUGCUUUAGUUUUGAUGGUUUCUGAAGAGAGAAAAAAGCAGGAGGAAUUUUUUUUUUUUCUAGUGGAAGUUUAAUCUACCAAAUGUGCUUGCUUGAGGAUGAAUUGGGAAAUGAGAUGAUGAAUAAGGGGUAUGAGAGCAAACAUACACUUUCUCUCUUCCCUCUUUUAAUUUAAAAAAGAAAAAAAGGGGAAAAAAUGUAUUUGAUUAUUAAGAAUCCAUGUUCAUCAGACUCUCCAGAAAAAAAUAAACCUCCUUUAUAUUUGACAAAAUGUCCAUUGUGAAAACUAGAUUAUUAUUACUGAUAGUUGGAUUAAUUUCUGAAGCUUUAUUACCUUUAUCCAUUCAUUCUUUUUAAAUCUAUCAGAUCAGUGCUUACAUCAGGGACAACUGAAAAUAAGGCCUUUUGAUCCAAUUUUUGUCAUUGGUUGCUAUCCCUGACAAUACAGCUAAAAGGAAUGUGAUAUCAGGGACUGAAGAUUCAGAUAAGAGCUUGAAGCAGGAGAUGUGGGCAAAGCAACACCUCUAAAAGAUUCUUGAAUGUUGGUCUAUUCUUAUACAAAGAUAGAAGCUAUUUCAGUGGUCAAGAGAAGAAAGGAAAGAGAAAGGGAAUGAGGAAGCUGAAGGGGGACCCCAUUGCUCUCUAAAACUACCUGAAAUGAGGUUGUGGUGAGGUGGGAGUCAGUCACUUCUGUAAUUUUUUAUUCAAAGGAAUGUGGAGAAACUGCCUUAAGUUGUACCAGGGAAUGUUCAAAUUAGACAUUAGAAAAAUGUUUAUCACUGAGAAUGAUGAUUAAUCAUUGAAAUAAGUUGCCCAGGGAGGUUGAGGAGUCACCUUCUCUGGAGGUGUUCAAGAAGAGUCCAGGUUUCUCACUCAGGGAUAUAGUGUAGAGGUGAUUAUGGUGGUGCAAGGCUGAUGACUGCACUAGAUCUUGAAAGACUCUCACAAUAUUUAUGAUUCUGUGUGACUCUGGUUUGAUUUUUCUUCAGAUUUGUUCUGGUGACCAUGUACUUGUUGUGUGGCAGAGAAUGUACCAGUAGCACUGCCUGGUUAAUAUUAGAACAAACUUAUAUCUCCCUCUGUUCAGGCAAAUAUUUGAAAAUCCUAACUUUGCUCUAAGUAAAGGUUUUGCACUGCAGUUAUUGAUUUGGGCCUUAUGUGCAAGGCCAAAAAUAUGCUAGUUAUCACUUUUCUGUGCGCAUUCACACAGCAUAUUGGUAUAUGCGAGAUGGUAACUGAAGACCUUUCUAGAGCAUCUGAAAUUACGGAAAAUUUAAAUUUUUACUUGGGUUUAAUAACAGCAGGGGGAUAGAAGGGAAGAAAGCAAAAUCCCACCCAAACUAUUUAUGUGCAAAGUUGGUAAAACAUUAUUUCUAAUUGUGUAAUUAGGUCUACUUUUUUAUUUUAAAACCUAAAUUACAGAGUGUAAGGUGCUGGAUGUAUGAGGGUAAUUCCCACUCCUUGUAAGAAUUAAACUAUUGGCUAUUUAGAAGGUUUUCUAAUGAUAAAACUGUCUUACAAAUUCAUUAUUGACUUGUUUAUUGAUUUCUUGGUCUCUAAGGAAUAUUACAGACUGAUCUGAAAUGCCUGUCUCAUGUAUAUUGAAAUGACUUAAAACUCCUGAAAACAGCCUAUUUGAUGUCUGAAUAACUUUGUCUAAUUGUUGACUUUAACACUAACUCAAAGAACAUAUUGGAUGCUAUCAUGUCAUUAACUUUUCCCUCUGAUGAGGGUUCCUGAGUGUCUUCCUGAACACUUUAAGUUCCUUGUUCUAAAUGUAGUAAGGGCAAGAAGAAAUUUUUCUCAAUUCAGCCUUUUGCUGAAAAAACCUAUCCAGUACUGCAUUUCAUCUUGAUUGAUAUUUUUUCUUUUGUCUGAAAAUCAAUGUACAGUCUUUUCUAUGCACUGUACAUCCUGAACAGCUUCCAGGGCUUGAAAUCUUGCCAAUGUCACUGUAAGACAGGAAUGUAAUAUUUGUUUAGUUAAAUCAAAUGGGAACCACAGAUCAAGAUAUUAUUUAUAAUCCAAUGGCACAGGCUAAUUUUAGUAGCUGAGAUAUAUAUGUGUCAAGGAAGCAGUUGCUAAACCUUGCUUAAAGAGCUUUGAUGUCUAGUGAUCUUGCUGAUUGUAGCCAUACCAUUCAUCUGAAAGUGAUAAAUAUAUAAAUUGAAAUCCACAUGAAAGCAAAUUAAAUGCCUUUUAUUUAAACAAAUAAAUGGGAAACUAUUUUGUCUAUAUUAGCUCCAGACAACAGCGUUUAAACUGCCCUAAUUUUCUCCUUUUUCACCUGAUACAGGUGGGGGGAUCCUUUCAUUUUCUCUUUUAGACUAUGACUUGGAUGAAGCAAUCUUGAAUAAAAUUAAUUUCAACAAGAAUGAAGUGAUUGGAAAAAGACACUGAGUUAAAGAGAAAACAGUCCUUGGAUUUGCUCAAAAAAGUUGAAAUUGGGGUAGUUUCUGUGCUACUAAAUACUAUAUUCUAAGCUAAAGUAGUGUAUCUGGCCAGAAUUUUUAGAUGAAGGAGAAAAAGGACUUGUUAGGAGGACAUGUUUAGACUCAACUCAAGUGUUCCUUGAUAUUGGUCAUGACUAUGUGAGCUUCAGAUGCCAUUAAAGAUACCUUGUUUUACAAGAAAAUUUUCCUUUGGCAGAAACUGGCAAGAUUUGAAAAACUACAUGUUUAUUUUACAGCAAAGUAAUAUAUUAUUAUUACUAUUAUUACUAUUAUUAUUAAUGAUAAUAAUAGUAAUAAUAAACAUGGGUUUAUAUUUAUUAUUAGAAUAAUAUAAUGUUAUAUUUAUUUUCAAUUCAUCAAGGCAAAGAAAUAGAUAAAAAUGGCAUAAUUUUAUUAUAUUACUCAGAUAUUUUGGAGAGAAAUAUAUGAGUCCAUGAUGAUCCAUGUCAUGGAUCUAAACAUGAGGUUUUUCUGUAUUUUGGAAGAUUCCUUGGCUGAGCACGCUUUUAUUUAUGAAUAUGCAAAAUAAACCUAUUCCUCUGGAAAACUGAUGUAUUUAUAUGAAGAUUUAAGAUCUCCUUCUUUUAUCUCUAAAAUUAAUGAGUAUAAGUGUUGUUAGCAGGCUUUUAAAUUACUUAAAACUAAAUGUGAGUGCUGAAACAAAAUUGCAAAAAUGUCUCAAAAUAAGAAGGAAAACUGAAAACACAAAACUUUAAUAUUUCACUGGCUUAGUGGGAGGAUGGUGGCAUGUUUGCAAGAAUUUAUAGAUCAAUGAAUGUGCUGAUAUUUUAAUGGCAAAUACUAUUGAAAUUAUGGCAAAUUUUCAUUUUUUUAAGUCCUAAAAUAUAACUUUAGAAAUAUCCUUAUCAUAAGGUACAUGGCAACUUGGAUAGUAUUGUUUAGUAGAACAAUUAGUAAUUGGGUUAAAAAACAUGCUUCAAUUUUUGAGCCAUUCUUCUCAGUAUGAAUAAUCAAGGUAAAGUAAUAAAUCAUGCUAAUGGCAGUUUAAUGAAAUGUGACUAGUGAAUAGCACUAGAGAUCUUUUGGAAUGGCUGAGCUAUCCAUUACUUUAUCAGAAAUGCAAUUUUUAAACAGUAAUAUAACAAACUGUGUUUGUUUCAGAUUUUUAUUUUUAUAUAAAAUGGAUCCUAAUACAGAUAUAUUUUAUUUCUGAUUUAAUAACACUAUGAUUAUUCCAUCUACUUACUGUCUGUCAAAGUUUGUGCUAAUAUAACAUUCACAGUUCACAUCUGCAAGUUCAGAAAACUUAGUGGUAUUAUUGCUAUUUGUAGUAUCUUUCUGUCACUUUGUUGUUUACAAACUGAUGCUGUUUUGUUCUUCAAACUGAGAAAACACUUUGAAAAAUUUUGUGUCUCUCUUUAUCUGUUAAUUUUAAAAAGUACAGCAAAAACUUGAUAUAUUUAAGUGUGCUAUAACUUUUAAUUUGUUCUUUGUAGUCAGGCUCCACACUGAUCUCUCCAAAAACAUUCACAUGCAUCUAUUCAUUGGUCAAACCAAAGUCUACAGUGUAUUUCUGAAGUGUGCCCCGAACAAGAUAAAUUUCUAUGGCUGCAUUUGCUCUUGCUGUUUUCUCAUUAGGAUGCCCAAGGAUUUUCACUGAACUGGUGGGAUUGACUAUAACCAGGAGCUGAAAAUGCCUCCAUUUAAAGUAUUCUUCUCACUGAAAAAGAUCGUGACUUCAUAUUUCAAAUUCCAAAUGGAAUGACAAUCUAAAGUGGACUUGUUCAGCUGAAAUUCCUGGGAUCUUAGGUACUCCAGGCUACUGGAAAGACAUCCUAUUAUUAAUCCUGGAUUAAUGAAGAGAAUGGACUUAGGGCAUGAUCCAGAGCCCAUUGUAGUCAAUGGGAGACUUUUUCCAUUGACUUCAUCGGGGUUUGGAUCAGGCCUUUACUACCUAAAAUGAAUAAACUCAGCAAAAUCUGCUGUAAGCAAGUGGCAUCCUUUCCUGAGAUCUUAGAAGAUACUGAAGACAAUAAUACUCAUUUUUCACCCGUGACUAUGGCUGUGUGUGUGGCUCACUGCUCAUGGGGAGCUCCCAGUGUAUCUUAAAAGCAAAGAAAACCCUUCAAAUUCUAAGCGUUGCUGGUCACAUUCAGAAUUUUUCAUCCAGGAAGUAGGGAUUUAUGUUCAUAAAAUAAAUUGUUAAAUUACGAGAAACAAAGCUGGUACAUUUCUGAAUGUUUCUUAGUUUCCAAGGGAAAGGGGAUUAUUUAAGUUUAAAACUCUCAGAGUUCUAGUAUGUGAAUUCCUGAUGUUCAAAAGUAAAAACAAAAAUGUCAAUAGAGACAUUACUUUCUGUCAAAAAAUCUGUAAUGAUAAUGCUAACACAAAAUCAUCAAUUUGUCUAUGAAAAUGAUGAUUUUCAAGUUUCUAUAAAGAAUGUCAAUAUGGUACAAAAUUUAAGGCAAAUAAAGGAUUCAUUUAAAAAUAACAAAUAGAAGGAAUUUGCAAAGUUCUUGUUUAGUAAUGGUUGUUGUGGGUUUUUUAGAAAAAAAAAUUAAAUCUCUAACUCUUGAACCUGUGUACUUUCCAAAUAAAGUUAAUUAAGUCAUGUAAAUGUCUGAAUCA